CAAGAAAAAUAAGCAUUAGCAGCAGUUUUUUAGCUGGCAGAUGGGUGACUGCCAGUAGAAAUUUCAAGUCUUUGGCAAUGCCGCUUAAACCUCGUAAAACCCAGGAUUUUCCCUCUCCCACUCUUCUAAUUUCUCAUCGACUCACCCUUUCAUAUUACAAGGUAGAAAUUUUAAGUCUUUGGCAUUGCCACUUAAACCCCGCGAAACCCAGGAUUUUCCCUCUCCCGCACUUCUAAUUUCUUACCGACUCACUCUUUCGCAUUCACACUCUCCUCUCUUUUUUUUUUUCUCUCUUAGUCAACUAGUAUUUUCACCUCUUAUUCCCAAUAUCUCUCUCAACCAUUUCUGAUUUCUCAUCGGCAACGGAAUCUCUCUCUGAAUCUCGAGUGCAGUAACAAGUGGGAGACCUCCUUACAUCUUAAGUUUGAGUUAAUUUCCCAACACAAUAGACUUCUUGUAAUCACGCCACAAUCUUAUUGAUUCAAUGAAGGCCCUCUCUCUCUCCAAUAAUCUUUGUUGGAUUUUCUUUUUUCUAAAACAACCUCCUCAUCUCAGGUUCUCACAUCUCACAUCCUUAUUCAUUCAUCAGCGACAAAAGGUAAGAUUGAAAGCCCCUAUGACCUAGGAUAUUAUCCCUUAGGAUUGGACUUUUGUCCUUUAUGUUGAUAUUAGCAAGGAAAUUUCAUCGUUUGUUUACUUUAAUGGUAAAAUUAGGUUAGAUUCAUUAUCAACCAUUUUGGUUUAUUCGAACUUCUUGUUAAAUUUGAUGUUAUCUUCUUAAUUUUUUUGUCUAGAUUUGCUUAAAUUUCUAUAGGUAACUAAGUAGUAAAAUCAUGUUGAUUAGCUUAAGGGAUUCAGUUGGCUAGGCUAUAGAUCUCUAUUGAUUAGAACCAUGUUGAUUCCCAUUUGCACUAAGAUAACAGUUAAUUAAAUUCUGAAAUGUGUAGUCUCGUCUUGGAAGCAAUCCAUGUUCAUUGGAACAAAACGAACACUCGUAUAUAUUUGAAAAUCUCAUCUUGACACUAGAAGCAAACCUUAGAAAGGCUUAUUCGUGACUAUCCAUUGCAUGGAAUUCAAAGAAUCCCCUUCCUCUUUUUUUGAUUGACUCUUUGUAGGUUUGUAUUGUAUGUGAUUAUUCUAGAUAAAUACAUAUAUUGUAUAUAGGCUCUUUUAUAUGUGUAGCUGAUAUUUUUUGGUUAAUAGAAUUGUACUUUACCUUUUGAAACAAAGUUAUUGGUUGGAUUUCAAAUUUGGCCAAAGUCCUGCUUUCCAUGCUUGCUAAUGAAAACUAUUUUUUUUUAUCCAAGAGAAUGAGCACCAGUACUAAUUAUUCUAGAUUCUAUAUGUGCAAAAUUAAAUUUCUGGCUUGCUUCAUUGUAUAUUGAUUUCUAGUUAUUUCAGUAAUUGGAUAUAAGUCCAAUUUGAUUGCAAUGGUUUUUGAUAUGAGAUACAGAGACAUAAUUCUGUUUUCUUAGAUCCUGGACACAUACAUGGUAUCUCACCUGAGGGGAAAAAACCAAAUUUUCCCAGGAAUUGGUCAGUCAUAGAUCUAACCUGGUCACCCUUCUUUUUAUUUUUUAUUCUUCAUGGUCUAUAUCAUGUUGAGAUGCAAAAUUUAAAGGUGUGGAUUUAAGGUUUCUUUUUUUUUAUUAUUCAGUUAAGAGUUCUUGGUUAUGAUCUACAUUUCGCCAACAGUGUUAUUGUGAUUAAGUACUGAUGACUAAUCUUUGUGACCUCUCUAGUCAAUGCAAUGACUAGCUAUUCUUGGUAUUAAAAAUUUACUUUAUGCACACCAUUGAGUGGAAGAAAACAUAAAAGAACCUAUCUUCCACACUCUCUUAUUUAUGCCUUCUUUAUGUUUAUACACCAUCAACAAUGUUCCAUCACUAGUUGAAGUAACAACAUCCAUAUAACUGAACGGGAUCUGCUCCUUACACAUCUUGGAAUUUAGCUUCUAUAUCUUAAUAAGGAGUUCUCUUUUUUCCAAUUGGCAUUGCAUUUUCAGAUUGUCUUGUUGUGAAGUGCAAUUAUUGGUCUUUUUCUUUGAUUCUUGGAGUCAUCUCUUACUUUAGGAGUUUUUGGUCUUUUUCAAAGUGUUUUGAUGGAAUUUUUAUGGAACGUUUCUGUUGUUCUAGUAGCAGAAACACAAUUGUUUGCUGCUCACUAGAACAUCAGAAACAUUCCCUAUGAAUGUCAUCAUAUGCUAUCUAAAUUUUUUUGAAUGAAAAUGUUUGAGGACCUCUCCCAACUACAGAAAAUGCUUGACUAGUUUGAUUCCCACUAGUCAUUUUAGAUACAAAUAGAAAACUUAGGUUAUAACUUGGUAAAAUUGUUUGGAAUCAUUUCUAAGAGUUUGACACUAUUUCUACUUGGCCUUUCUCUUCAGAAUAUCAUUUUAUUUUAUUUUUCACAAUUAUAUUUGUGGUUUUGCAUAGUUGUUGCAUGAAUUUAAUGAGCUUAGAUUCGAACAAUAGAGUAUUAUUGUCUCUGUGUUCUGAAUUCUCAAUAAAAAUUAUCUUCUUGACUUAGAGUUUAUUGUUCUGAUAUGAUCUUCUUGCAUUGGACACAAGAGGUUCUGAUAUGCUUUGAGAUGUGCCUUUUGAGCUUUUCAUGGCCAGUUACAAGGAAAUCCUCAACUCAAGCACAUGCAUAACUGAAUGGCUUGUUACUGUGUCCUUUACUAAAUAAGUCAUCAAGGAGUCGAGGUAACCCUAACACAGACAACCUAUUAUUUCUGUUUGGUGAGAAAUCCAAAGAAUUCAAAUUGGUUAUCAGUCAGUCUUUUGAAGGAUUGUCCUCUCCUGUCUCUUUUAAUACAUUAAUCAGGAGUGUUUCAAAACAGUAGAACCAACUUAGCUUAAUUUUCAGCUCACAAACAGGCCCUUAGUUAUAUAUUUGUUUAAGAAUUUUUUUUUUUUUUUUUUUGUGGUGAACUUAACGCCACCCAUGACCCAACAACUGGAGUCCAGAGACAGACAACCCAUAGAUCAUGAAAUGUCACUUUUGAAGGUUGUCUUCUUCUUUUCGUGGGAUCUCAAUUUUGUAAAGUUCUUCAAUAAUUUUCAAUUCUAAAAUUACUCUUGUCACAUUGCUUUAACUCCAGCUGGUCUGGGUUGUCAUGGAUUAGUUAUUCUAAACUGUUUUGUUGGAAUAUUCUCUCGAGGUCCAGGAUUGAUAGAAUAUGUUGAGGUUCCAUAGAUAGAGAAGAGAGGGUUGGGUUUGGCUCAAUCUGAACUGGACCUAACUAAGAGAGGGGUCAUCAAGCCCAACCAAUAUAUCUUUAUCUCAUAUAUAAUUACAUAUGGGUUCAACUAUGAUAUCAGAGAGAGAUGACACUUGAAAAGCUCACAGCCCAUCAACUAAUAUCAUUAAAAAUGAUUGAUGAUAUUAAUCAAAAUUCACAGGGGUGCUUAGAGUUUAAAGUAGUGUGCCUUUUGAGAUGUGCCUCAAACUUACCUGGGUCUCCUGAGUAUGGCCUUCUCAAAGGGAGGGUAACAGGAUAGUAAGAGUAGUCCUGCAGAGCCAUCAGGGGAAAACUGUAAGAUAGAUAGAUUAGGAAUACACAUUAUGAGAUUUUGGUAAUGGAGCCAGGUUGGUGUUUGCUGUUUGCUUAUUACCCAGGGUUCUUUGUAUUCUUUCUCCAUUCUACGUGCUGAUGAAUGAGCUCCAUCUACAGAAAUACAUUGCAAAGGUUAUAUGCCUUAUCCUAGUUGGUUACUCAAUUCCACAAAAGGAGGUGUACUAACCAUCAGAACCCAAAGCUUGAAAUUUACUACUACCACCAACUUUUGUAGAGCCAUAUGACAUAAAAUAAUUUGAUGAAGGUCCAAACCCAAACAUAACUUGUGCAGUCCUGCUGAAAGUAAGAAAACCAGAAAAAAGGAAAGGUAACUGAUAUAUCAAUAAAAUAGUACCAUUUACCCACGCUAAUCCAUGCUUUUGUUAGUGUUUUCCUUUAAGAAUACAUAACAUGGACUUAAGGAGGUUCAAACCUGGGAAUUCUAUUGGUUGACUAAUUGAUUGCUAUAAGCAAUGAGGUCUUCCACUGCACUUCUCCUUUGCUCUGAUAGCUUCUCCAACCCUCCAUCAAAUACUCUCUUCUUUGGGGUAUUUAUGUUCUGUUGUUACUGUUCUAUUCCUCGUUAAUAGCUGCUGCAGCUGCUACUCAAAGCUUUCAGAACAGCAACAAUGACCGCCAUCAAGUUACUAGGCAAGAAAUCCAGGUCGCCAUUGCCAAAGCUGUAGAGCUCAGAGAUCUUCAUGCUGCUUUGAUUAAAGGGAACAGCCCUGCAAAUCGCAGGUUCCCUAGCUCUGCUUCUCCCUCUCUUUCACGGCCUUCCUCUCAGCUCUCAGCUCAUGAUUACCCUGUUUUUACUCGGGCUGAAAGUGCAAUUGCUGCCCUCAACUGUAGUAGUGCAGUGAUGGGAUCUCUGUUUCAUGUUCUUCCUCAUGGUGGUUCUUGGGCCCCGAUAUGUGGUGAACCAAGUGACAGCCGGAUACUAUGAUUGCCCCAGAAACGUUGUGAAGUUUUUAACAAAUCUCCAUGCUGCCUUCCGAAUGCUUAAUCUCCGCAAUGAUUUCCUGUGAAAGAAGUUCGCAGGUCCUGUGGGAGUAGGGGGCUCGGUGUAUGUUGAGUUCCAAGCAGUCUUGCAAGGAGUACAAAUUGCUAGAGACCUAAUUAAACUAUGACAGAUUGGUAAUUGAAAGCGACUCUAAGGCCAUGUUCUUUUUUCAGAAACACAUUUACCCAUGUUCUUUUCUGUUUGAUUUACCCAGAUAAAUGAAGUUUCUUAUUUUCC